rnacentral:lncRNA from 1 species
GAAAACUGAAACAUCAAACUGAGUGUUCCCAUCCCGUUCGUCUUCGACGAUCAUAUUAUGUAGAAUGAUACAUGCUCUCAUUAUCUUUCCAAUUUUUAUUUUGUCCCACAAAAGAGCUGGAUUUUUUACUAUGGCAAAUCGAGCUUGCAAGACCCCAAAAGCACGUUCGACAUCUUUACGAACACCUUCUUGAUAUGUAGCAAAUAAGGAUGCUUUCGGGCCUUGUGGAUUUCGAAUAGAUUGGACAAAAGUAGCCCAGUUUGGAUAAAUACCAUCUGUAAGAUAGUAAGCCAAACAGUAGUUGUGUCCGUUGACAAUGUAAUUAACUUUUGGAGCUCGACCUUCUAAUAUAUCAUCAAAAACCGGUGAUCGAUCAAGAACAUUGAUAUCGUUUAAGGUACCUGGAGGUCCGAAAAACGCAUGCCAUAUCCAGAGAUCGUGUGAAGCUACAGCCUCUAAAACAAUUGUUGGCUUUCCUGAUCCACGUGUAUAUUGUCCUUUCCAUGCCGUCGGACAAUUCUUCCACUCCCAAUGCAUACAAUCAAUGCUUCCUAUCAUCCCGGGAAAUCCGCGUAUUUCUCCAAUAUCGAGUAGUCGUUGAAGAUCUUCUGGUGUUGGUUUUCUAAGAUACUCAGCUCCAAAUAAAUCUAUGAUUCCUUGAACAAAAUGUUCUAAGCAUAAAAGUGCGGUUGUCUCACCAAGUCGGAGGUACUCGUCGACUGCAUCAGCUGGGCAACCAUAUGCCAUCAUACGAAUUGCUGCUGUUGCCUUUUGUAACGGAGAGUGACCGAACCUUCCCGUAGCAUCUCUUCUUUGUUGAAAGUAUGGGAUUUCAGCGGAGAGUCGAUCAACAAUACGCAUAAACAAAGGCUUGUUCAUGCGAAAACGGCGUCGAAACAUGGAAGACGGAUAUGUUGAAUCUUCCUUAAAAUAAUCGUUCCAUAACUGCAUGUGUCCUUGUUCUCGAUCUCUUUCAAUGUAAGCUCGUUUCUUUUUUGACCUUGAUGCUUCUUGACGCUCACCAUAACGAAUGAGAAGAUUUUCAAAUUGUUGAUCGAAUUUUUGAUCGCAAAUUUGUUCAAAUCUCUCAUCCAUUUCUUCAAAAGGAUCGGAAGAAGAAGAUGCCAUUUAAGAAAGAAAUGUGAAGAAAUAUGAUAAAAAAAUAUGGAAAAAAAUAAACGAGCCUUGUUGUUGUUUUGUUUGGUCGAUACGGUGAAACAAUUUUAAAGAAAAACAAGGAGAUGAAACAACUUGGUCGACUCUCUCUCUCUCGUGUUGUUGUGUUGUUUUAUAAUGAAUACUCUCUCUCAGCUGUUGUGUUGAUUUAUAAAGAAAACUCUUUCUCUGGUGUUGAGUUGAUUUAUAAAGAACAAGACAUACUCACGAGAUACAACAAGACAUCAACUGCUUACACAACAACACAGACUCACAAGAUACAACAAGACAAAAUUAAGACAGUGGCUACACAGACUCACGAGAUACACACUUGCUUUUUGAGUUUGUUUCUUAUGUCACAUGUAUUGGCGGGUUAAUCUCUGCAAAAGCAACAAAAUAAAAUAACCAACAAAGCAGACACAACUCUAACAAGAUAUUCAUCUCUGGUUUGUCUGCAUUUGACGUUAAUAUUUUUUCAUAACUUACCAAACACCACAAAGCAUAAGCAUUAAACCGAAAUAGCGUUAAGCAUUAAAUGUUACAGACUCAGACACAAACCAGUAGCAUCAACAGAAACAAACCGAAAGCAUUAAGAGACACAACCCGAAAGCAUUAACAGACACAACCCGAAAGCAUUAAGAGACACAAACAUAAGCAUAACCAUAAACUCAGACACUGAAACUAAGCCAACAUGUCCUUAAUAAGCUGAUCUUUCAAAGCAAGUUCUAGUUCAGUUAAUGGCUCAGUCUUCAGAAUGAGACCCUGAAGCAAUUUCUGCUUGUUCAGCUUAUCCUUCAGGGCAAAAUCAUUCUGCCUAAGCUCCCACAGGUUGUGAAACUCCUUUUCUUCCUCUUCCAACGUCGGCUUGCUCGCAGGCUUUUUAGCUUUUGCCUUUGCCGCUUUAACCCCAGCAGGCCGUGCGGAAUUAUCAUCCUCUCUUGGCACAGAGGUUGGUAGUGGAUCAACCCCUAGCUUUAUCCUUUUCGACUGCACUUUAUCUUUAGUAGUAGAUGCUCCACGCCAUUUCUGAUCAUGGCGAAGCUCCAACCAUGCGUGCUCCAUUGUGUACUUCUUCUUGUAAUCAUUAAAGUAAAUCGCGUGAGCCAUCUUCAAGACAUCAUCCUCGUUCUGUCCACUCGAUCUCUGUUUUGUUGCAGCUUCAUAGGAGCCAACAAACUUACACACGCCUUCAUUGAUCUUCCCCCACCUUGCUUUACAGUGCACCGGUCCUCUCUUUUGCAAACCAGCGACCUUGGGACUCGCAGCAAAAUAAGAAGCAAUUCGUUUCCAAAACGCAAUUGCUUUCUGCUCAUUCCCUACCACUGGAUCUUUGGAAGUGUUCAACCAAGAACUUAUCAGCACAACAUCUUCC